ensembl:snRNA U2 U2 spliceosomal RNA
AUCACUUCCUGGUCUUUUGGCUAAGAUCAAGUGUAGUAUCUGUUCUUAUCUGUUUAACAUCUGAUACGUCUUCUAUCUGAGGACAAUGUACUCUAUGGAUUUUUGGAGCAGGGAGUUGGAAUAGGAGCUUGCUCUGUCCACUCCAUGCAUUGACCUAGUAUCGCAGUAUCUCAAGCCACAGUGCAAAAAAA